rnacentral:lncRNA from 1 species
GGCAAAUUCCAAUAAGAGGUUAGAAUUAGUUACCUGCAGAAGAUUUGCAGAAAGAAAAGGCAUCCUGCAGUAAGAGGACUUGUUCUCCGCCUGCUUCUGCUCAGGUGCACGUGCUGUGGGGGCGCUGCUGAAGGAAGGACAUUAACAGAGCAGAAGGCAGUCCUGGUAAUCAGGCUCCCAAUAUGGCCAAAUCCAUUCUCACCGACCUUCACCAUUUUGUCUACUGGACGAGGCUGGCACUGCACAAGAAGAUGCAGCUGUCUCUGGAACAAGGUGGAGCAGAGGGCCUAAAAACACAUUUCUAAGGGCAGACUUGAGUAUCCUUCCUUAAGGUGUUUCCAUAGAGGUUUACAGAAGAGAGAAGACACACCCUGAAAGUGGGCAACACAAUACCACAGGCUAGAAUCCCAGUACAAACAAAAGUAGAAAAAGAUGUGAGCUGUGUCAACUGAAUGCCAACAUUCUCACCUCUGUGCUCCUGGGCUGCUACUUAUGAAAGCAAGCAAUACCAUACAUUCCACCAUGAUGGAGUAAGCUGUUUCAAAUUGAAACACAUCUGUACUGUCUAUUCUUGCAAAUGCCAUGGAAUGGAUUUUGAGAGUUUCUCAGAUCUACAACCAUAAAUGGAUGUGGUAGAUCACAGCUCUUUGAGCAGUGAAUUUUAUGGAUGCUGUGCUGUCACAUUGGUCCUGAUUGAGCCCACUUUUCCCUGUCAUCUGUAAUGACUUUGAAAAACAUGGAACGAAAUCCUGGACAUGAAGAAAAUUGGAAAUGAUUUCAACAACAACAAAAAAAUUGCUUGUAAAUCUAAGUACAAAACAAACCUUCCUUUCGAUGUGAGGAUCCAUACUAAAACUUGACUCACCAUGGAUUAGUACCCAGUAGCUCUUCUCAGUCAUGGAGUUAUAUAGCACUGUGGGGCCAUCAUUAGAUCAUCAUUGUUCUACAUGCAUCUAGUGAUCUCAUGCACUUUAGUUACUCACACCAUAUCGUGUAGGAGCUGAACACAGGCUGCACAAGAGCCUGGCUCACUCUGCCUCUUUACUGGCUGAAGCAGAUCCUGCUUGCAUGAGGGCCACACUUUUUCUUGGCUCCAUGAUGCAUUCACCCUGAGUCUCUUUCAUUAUCAUUCUAUGUUUCCUUUAUUUUUAAGUAAAUAAAAACAUCCAACAUGUCCUUUAUCUUUGCCUUUGCUUUGAUCUUCUGUUCUUGAACAUUAAACUAAACAUGGGCAUGUACUCAUGCAUUAAUUCCACCUAACUCAGCGAUGCGGUCUAGUAAUGUUCACAUUCAGAUAUAGCAGUGUUACCUUAUAAAUUUAAACUGUAAAUAAUUCAUAAUGGACUGCAGAAGUGACUCAAUGGUUACGCGCACUUGCUGUUCCUCCAGGGCAUCAGCAUGAAAUUUUCUACAAUUACAUAGCACCUCACAGCCAAGUAGGCAUCUGAGAAGCCAUCUCUGGUCUCUGUAGGUAUUGCAUACAUAUGGCGGACAGACAAGUAAACAGGCAAAACAUCAAUUUACAUACAACAAAUAAAUUAAAUAAAAAAUAAAAACUUCAUUAUAAGUUUGCAUGCUUGC